rnacentral:rRNA from 1 species
GGGUUGUGAGGUUAAGCGACUAAGCGUACACGGUGGAUGCCCUGGCAGUCAGAGGCGAUGAAGGACGUGCUAAUCUGCGAUAAGCGUCGGUAAGGUGAUAUGAACCGUUAUAACCGGCGAUUUCCGAAUGGGGAAACCCAGUGUGUUUCGACACACUAUCAUUAACUGAAUCCAUAGGUUAAUGAGGCGAACCGGGGGAACUGAAACAUCUAAGUACCCCGAGGAAAAGAAAUCAACCGAGAUUCCCCCAGUAGCGGCGAGCGAACGGGGAGGAGCCCAGAGCCUGAAUCAGUGUGUGUGUUAGUGGAAGCGUCUGGAAAGGCGCGCGAUACAGGGUGACAGCCCCGUACACAAAAAUGCACAUAUUGUGAGCUCGAUGAGUAGGGCGGGACACGUGGUAUCCUGUCUGAAUAUGGGGGGACCAUCCUCCAAGGCUAAAUACUCCUGACUGACCGAUAGUGAACCAGUACCGUGAGGGAAAGGCGAAAAGAACCCCGGCGAGGGGAGUGAAAAAGAACCUGAAACCGUGUACGUACAAGCAGUGGGAGCACAGAGCAAUCUGUGUGACUGCGUACCUUUUGUAUAAUGGGUCAGCGACUUAUAUUCUGUAGCAAGGUUAACCGAAUAGGGGAGCCGAAGGGAAACCGAGUCUUAACUGGGCGUUAAGUUGCAGGGUAUAGACCCGAAACCCGGUGAUCUAGCCAUGGGCAGGUUGAAGGUUGGGUAACACUAACUGGAGGACCGAACCGACUAAUGUUGAAAAAUUAGCGGAUGACUUGUGGCUGGGGGUGAAAGGCCAAUCAAACCGGGAGAUAGCUGGUUCUCCCCGAAAGCUAUUUAGGUAGCGCCUCGUGAAUUCAUCUCCGGGGGUAGAGCACUGUUUCGGCAAGGGGGUCAUCCCGACUUACCAACCCGAUGCAAACUGCGAAUACCGGAGAAUGUUAUCACGGGAGACACACGGCGGGUGCUAACGUCCGUCGUGAAGAGGGAAACAACCCAGACCGCCAGCUAAGGUCCCAAAGUCAUGGUUAAGUGGGAAACGAUGUGGGAAGGCCCAGACAGCCAGGAUGUUGGCUUAGAAGCAGCCAUCAUUUAAAGAAAGCGUAAUAGCUCACUGGUCGAGUCGGCCUGCGCGGAAGAUGUAACGGGGCUAAACCAUGCACCGAAGCUGCGGCAGCGACGCUUAUGCGUUGUUGGGUAGGGGAGCGUUCUGUAAGCCUGUGAAGGUGUGCUGUGAGGCAUGCUGGAGGUAUCAGAAGUGCGAAUGCUGACAUAAGUAACGAUAAAGCGGGUGAAAAGCCCGCUCGCCGGAAGACCAAGGGUUCCUGUCCAACGUUAAUCGGGGCAGGGUGAGUCGACCCCUAAGGCGAGGCCGAAAGGCGUAGUCGAUGGGAAACAGGUUAAUAUUCCUGUACUUGGUGUUACUGCGAAGGGGGGACGGAGAAGGCUAUGUUGGCCGGGCGACGGUUGUCCCGGUUUAAGCGUGUAGGCUGGUUUUCCAGGCAAAUCCGGAAAAUCAAGGCUGAGGCGUGAUGACGAGGCACUACGGUGCUGAAGCAACAAAUGCCCUGCUUCCAGGAAAAGCCUCUAAGCAUCAGGUAACAUCAAAUCGUACCCCAAACCGACACAGGUGGUCAGGUAGAGAAUACCAAGGCGCUUGAGAGAACUCGGGUGAAGGAACUAGGCAAAAUGGUGCCGUAACUUCGGGAGAAGGCACGCUGAUAUGUAGGUGAAGUCCCUCGCGGAUGGAGCUGAAAUCAGUCGAAGAUACCAGCUGGCUGCAACUGUUUAUUAAAAACACAGCACUGUGCAAACACGAAAGUGGACGUAUACGGUGUGACGCCUGCCCGGUGCCGGAAGGUUAAUUGAUGGGGUUAGCGGUAACGCGAAGCUCUUGAUCGAAGCCCCGGUAAACGGCGGCCGUAACUAUAACGGUCCUAAGGUAGCGAAAUUCCUUGUCGGGUAAGUUCCGACCUGCACGAAUGGCGUAAUGAUGGCCAGGCUGUCUCCACCCGAGACUCAGUGAAAUUGAACUCGCUGUGAAGAUGCAGUGUACCCGCGGCAAGACGGAAAGACCCCGUGAACCUUUACUAUAGCUUGACACUGAACAUUGAGCCUUGAUGUGUAGGAUAGGUGGGAGGCUUUGAAGUGUGGACGCCAGUCUGCAUGGAGCCGGCCUUGAAAUACCACCCUUUAAUGUUUGAUGUUCUAACGUUGGCCCCUGAUCGGGGUUGCGGACAGUGUCUGGUGGGUAGUUUGACUGGGGCGGUCUCCUCCUAAAGAGUAACGGAGGAGCACGAAGGUUGGCUAAUCCUGGUCGGACAUCAGGAGGUUAGUGCAAUGGCAUAAGCCAGCUUGACUGCGAGCGUGACGGCGCGAGCAGGUGCGAAAGCAGGUCAUAGUGAUCCGGUGGUUCUGAAUGGAAGGGCCAUCGCUCAACGGAUAAAAGGUACUCCGGGGAUAACAGGCUGAUACCGCCCAAGAGUUCAUAUCGACGGCGGUGUUUGGCACCUCGAUGUCGGCUCAUCACAUCCUGGGGCUGAAGUAGGUCCCAAGGGUAUGGCUGUUCGCCAUUUAAAGUGGUACGCGAGCUGGGUUUAGAACGUCGUGAGACAGUUCGGUCCCUAUCUGCCGUGGGCGCUGGAGAACUGAGGGGGGCUGCUCCUAGUACGAGAGGACCGGAGUGGACGCAUCACUGGUGUUCGGGUUGUCAUGCCAAUGGCACUGCCCGGUAGCUAAAUGCGGAAGAGAUAAGUGCUGAAAGCAUCUAAGCACGAAACUUGCCCCGAGAUGAGUUCUCCCUGACUCCUUGAGAGUCCUGAAGGAACGUUGAAGACGACGACGUUGAUAGGCCGGGUGUGUAAGCGCAGCGAUGCGUUGAGCUAACCGGUACUAAUGAACCGUGAGGCUUAACCUUACAACGCCGAAG